rnacentral:tRNA from 1 species
GGAGACGGAUGGAGUCCUGGUGGAUCCCGCGGCCUUCAAAGCCGUUGCGAGGUACGCAGAAUGCCUUGGGUGUGUUCGAUUCGCACACGUCUCC